rnacentral:rRNA from 1 species
GACGAACGCUGGCGGCGUGCUUAACACAUGCAAGUCGAACGCUGAAGACCUGGCUUUUGUUGGGUUGGAUGAGUGGCGAACGGGUGAGUAACACGUGAGUAACCUGCCCUCUUCUUUGGGAUAACGCCCGGAAACGGGUGCUAAUACUGGAUAUUCACUGGCCUUCGCAUGGGGGUUGGUGGAAAGGUUUGUUCUGGUGGGGGAUGGGCUCGCGGCCUAUCAGCUUGUUGGUGGGGUGAUGGCCUACCAAGGCUUUGACGGGUAGCCGGCCUGAGAGGGUGACCGGUCACAUUGGGACUGAGAUACGGCCCAGAAUCCUACGGGAGGCAGCAGUGGGGAAUAGUGCACAAUGGGCGAAAGCCUGAUGCAGCGACGCCGCGUGAGGGAUGGAGGCCUUCGGGUUGUAAACCUCUUUCGCUCAUGGUCAAGCCGCAACUGUGGGUUGUGGUGAGGGUAGUGGGUAAAGAAGCGCCGGCUAACUACGUG